UCAAAACCAACCUCUAGAUGAUGAGUAAUCGUGUCUCCGAGUACGUGUAUUGUAAGUAAGAACGAGGUAAUCCGCAUCCCGAGGACUAAAAGGUAUACUAAUACACAUACGUAUAUGCGUAUACAAAUUUCCUGCGUAAAUUAAGCUUUAAACCUCAGGAUGCAGAUUACCCGGUCCUCACCAAUACUCAUCAUCGUCACCCCCCAUAAUGCGCGC